rnacentral:rRNA from 1 species
AUCUACCAUCAUGCCACCCUAAACAAGCCCAAUUCUGUCUGAUCUCGGAAGCUAACCAGGGUCGGGCCUGGUUAGUACUUGGAUGGGAGACCACCUAGGAAGACCAGGUACUGUAUGCG